CGCCUAUUCUACCCACGAUUACAGAGCAGGACUCUUUCCUUUGCCAUCAAGAUUGGAUUUCCCAGGUAAGUCUCUUCUCCUUGCCUUCUGUUUCUGAAACGAAGCCCUAAUUCGUUUUCUUCAUCACAGCUCUGAACCACCAUUGAAGUUACUCACUCAAACCACCAUUGAAGUUUGUCUUUUGAAAUCAAAAACCUCUUAAAAUUUCUGGUGAUUAGUGACCAUUUGGGAUGGGUGAGAUAUAUUGCAUUUGAUCCAAGUAAUACAUGGUUCUGUACUAGCUCUACAGAUCGCACGAUCAAGGCCUGCCAGCUAUGCUGUUGAGUGGAAGGCUUGUAUCACCUAACAUUACGCUCAAUGUGCUGCCAACAGCAUGCAGGCAGCAGUAUGCAUCGGCAAGUAUGCAGCAGCAGCAGCACAAGAAGUAGCCUACCAACCUUCAAGUAUCCUACAAACAGUAUGCAUCAGCAAGCAUAGUGCAGAGUUGUUUUGCUUUUGCUGUUGCUGCUGCAGAAUUGUUUUUCCUACUGCUGCAAGUUGCUGCCUGUUUGGGAGGCAAACUGCCUAAGUGAGUUGGGCUACACCUCAUCAUUUCACUCCCAAACUGACACAAUUAUGUAGUUAGGAUUAAUUACAAUUAGGUUGAGUUGGUUAUAGAGUAGGUAGAAUUGUAGUUCAGUUAGAUGGUUAUGCAAUAUAUUUUUGAACACACUCAUGUCUCAAAAUUAUUUUUGAACACACUCAUGUUUCCAAAUUACAAAUUAUUUUUGAACACA